rnacentral:lncRNA from 1 species
CGUCGUCGUCGUCGUCGUCGUCGUCGUCGUCGUCGUCGUCGUCGUCGUCGUCGUCGUCGUCGUCGUCGUCGUCGUCGUCGUCGUCGUCGUCGUCGUCGUCGUCGUCGUCGUCGUCGUCGUCGUCGUCGUCGUCGUCGUCGUCGUCGUCGUCGUCGUCGUCGUCGUCGUCGUCGUCGUCGUCGUCGUCGUCGUCGUCGUCGUCGUCGUCGUCGUCGUCGUCGUCGUCGUCGUCGUCGUCGUCGUCGUCGUCGUC